GCACCCGCGACGCGCGACGCCUGUCCUGGCUCUGAGACAGAGUCAGGGACUGUCUCGCAGGCUGCAGUACAAUUGCGCGGUCUCGGCUCACUGCAACCUCCGCCUCCAGGGUUCAAGCCCUUCUCCUGCCUCAGCCUCCCGAGUAGCUGGGAUUACUUUCCGGGGUGUUUUUGUUGUUGUUGUUAUUGUUUUAAAAGUCAGUCUCCUUCUGUUGUCCAGGCUGGAGUGCAGUGGUGUGAUCUUGGCUCACUACAACCUCCACUUCCUGGGUUCAAGCGAUUCUUAUGCCUCAGCCUCCCGGGUAGCUGGGACUACGAGCCUGCGCCACCACGCCCAGCCAGUGUCUGUAAUUUUAGUAGAGACAAGAUUUCACCAUGUUGGCCAGGCUGGUCUCCAACUCCUGACCUCAGGUGAUCCACCCGCCUCAGCCUCCCAAAAUGCCAGGAUUACAGAUGUGAGCCACUGUGCCGGACUUUUUCUUUUCUCUUCUUUUUUUUGAGACGGAGUCUUGCUCUGUCGCCAGGCUGGAGUGCAGAGGCGAUCCCGGCUCACUGCAACCUCCGCCUUCUGGGUUCAAGCAAUUCUCCUGCCUCAGCCUCCUGAGUAGCUGGGACUACAGUCGCACACCACCAUGCCCAGCUAAUUUUUGUAUUUUUAGUAGAGACAGGGUUUCACCUUGUUGACCAGGAUGGUCUCGCUCGAUGUCUUGACCUCGUGAUCCACCCACCUCGGCCUCCCAAAGUGCUGGGAUUACAGGCGUGAGCCACCUGCCUCAGCCUCCCAAAGUGGUGGGAUUACAGGCCUGAGCCACCGCGCCCAGCUGUUCCUUGUUGUUUUUUAAAAAUUACAGCUGGUCUGAUGGUCUAAGAGAGGAAAUCAAUGAGGCUGGAGAGAAAAGGGUGAAUGGCUGAAGUGACACCUGUGAGUUGACAAGAAGGACCAGGAGCUGGUAAACCAAAGAGGUGGCUCAGGCAGCCAGUGUCCCAUGGAAAGGCGCCAACUUGGAAGUGGCUCCUUCAGCCCCAAAUGAGCCUUCAGAUGAGGCAGCCCCGGCGACAGCUUGACUGCAACCUCAUGAGACACUCAAAGCCAGAAACACCCAGAUACCCUGCUGCCAGACUCCCUACCCACAGGAAAGGGACCGAGUGCUGUUGGGUGUCUUCCAGCAUUCCCGGCCUCCUCCCGACUACCUGACUGGAUGCCCCCUGCACACGCCACCCCCCACCCCAUGGCAGCCAAAACUGACGCCUGGGGCGGGACCCAGCGCCUAGCGGACGGUCGGAAACGGCAGUGGGGAAGCGGCACUCAGUGGACGCUCGUUCCCACCCCCCCCCCCCCGCCCCGUUUUGCCUCCUGCCUUCUGGUUUUGGUCUCUGGCUGCAGAUCAGCAGCUGUGCACCUGUGAUUCUACCACUGUGUCCACUUUCCGGAGAGGUGAUGAGACAUCGUGAGAGCUUGAAGCACAGGACAGAGGAGCAGAAUUCAGUGUCACACAUGCCUCUGCUGCCCGGGAGGAGGAGAGACUGCGGUUCGGGGUGGGAUGUGGAUGAGAGGCGGACGGGAGAAAAGAACAUGCGUGUCCACACGAACAUGUGCACACCCACAUCCAGAGCAGCACGACUCACAACAGCCAAAAAGCAGAGGCAACCCAAGCACCCAGCCACGAGAUGAGGUCCCGCUCUGUCACCCAGGCUGGAGUGCAAUGGCGAGAUCUCGGCUCACUGCAACCUCCACCUCCCAGAUAUGAUCUCACUCCGUCGCCCAGGCUGGAGUGCAGUGACGUGGUCUCGGCUCACUGCCACCUUGACUUCCCAGGCUCAAGUGAUUCUCCCGCCUCAGCCUCCCAAGUAGCUGGGACUACAGGCCUGCCAGAAAUGACCACCACUGCCUGCUCUCCACACGGCAGCCAGAAGGACAGCUGACCCCCCAAUAUGGCCCCAGUGAUCCCCACCGAAUAUUCAUGCCUUUAUGUAGCCCCCUCCCACUCUGAACAGGGCUGACCUGUGGGAAUGCCAACAGGUCACAGAACUUCCAAGGUUAAGGUAUAAAAGGCACAACAGUCUCGUCCUUGCUCUCUCUCUAGGGGAAGAUGUGAGGAUCUUCCAUGUUGUGAGGAUGCUCAAGCAGCCUUUUGUAGGGGCCCACGGGACAAAAAAACUGAGCCCUCCCACCAACAGCCACGUGAGAGAAGUGGGCUGGCAGCAGCUCAUCCAGCCCCCGGCAAGCCUUCGGAUGAUGCAACCCCAGAGUGUCUCCACUGCAGCCUUACCAGAGGCCAGAGCCAGAGCCAGCCAGCUAAGCCAGGCCCGGAGCAGCUGUGCACAACCGUGUUCAAUGUUGUUUGUUUGUUUUUUGAGACAGAGUCUCACUUUGUUGCCCAGGCUGGAGUGCAAUGGUGCAAUCUUGGCUUUCUGCAAACCUCUGCCUCCCAGGUUCAAGCAAUUUUCCUGCCUCAGCCUCCUGAGUAGCUGGGACUACAGGCAUGUGCCACCAUGCCUGGCUAAUAUUUUGUAUUUUUUUAGCAGAGACAGGGUUUCAUCGUGUUAGUCAGAAUGGUCUUGAUCUCCUGACCUCGUGGUCCGCCUGCCUGGCCUCCCAAAAUGCUGGGAUUACAGGCAUGAGCCGCUGCGCCGGCCUGUUUACUGUUGUUUAACGUGGCCAAGUUCGGUUUUGUUUUUUGUUGUUGUUCUUUUGUUUUUUUUCUUGAAAUGGAUUCUUGCUCUGUCGCCCAGGCUGGAGUGCAGUGACGUGGUCUUGGCUCACUGCAACCUCUGCCUCCCAGGUUCAAGCGAUUCUCCCACCUCAGCCUCCCAAGUAGCUGGGACUACAGGCUCCUGCCACCACACCCGGCUAAUUUUUGUGUUUCUAGUAGAGACGGUGUUUCACUAUGUUGCCCAGGCUGGUCUCCAACUCCCAGGCUCAGGUGAUGGUCCUGCCACAGCCUCCCAAAGCACUGGGAUUACAGGUCUCAGCCACACAUCCAGCCAUUGUGGGGCUUUGUUGCCCAGCUUCAAUAACAGAGUCAGAAGCACUUUCUUUUUGUUUUUUUUUUUUGAGACGGAGUUUCUCUCUUGUUACCCAGGCUGGAGUGCAAUGGCGCCAUCUCAGCUCACCACAACCUCCGCCUCCUGGGUUCAGACAAUUCUCCUGCCUCAGCCUCCUGAGUAGCUGGGAUUACAGGCACGCGCCACCAUGCCCGGCUAAUUUUUUGUAUUUUUAGUAGAGACGGGGUUUCGCCAUGUUGAUCAGGAUGGUCUCGAUCUCUUAACCUCGUGAUCCACCCGCCUCGGCCUCCCAAAGUGCUGGGAUUACAGGCUUGAGCCACCGCGCCCAGCCGAGCACUUUCAUUAUGUAAACUGGACCAUAAGAUCCAGUUUAAAAUCCUCCUGUGCCUCCUCACUACUCUAAACUCCUUGGCAGUCCCAAAGGCCCUUCAUGGCCACCUCCCAUCGUCUUCCCAGCCACACGGGCCUCCGUGCUGUUUAUCCAGCAUUCCAGGCCCAGUCCAGCCCUAGGCCCUUGGCAUUUGCUGUGCUCUCCAUGAGGAAUAUUCUUCCCCAAAUGUCCCCAGGUAGCAGGCCAGGCCAGGUCUCACUAACGCAGGCCUGCAUGACAACCGUUUCAGCACUGACUGAGUGGUUAAGUUAAACGUUAAAAGCUAAAAGAGGCUGGGCCUGGUGUCCCACACCUGUAAUCCCAGCACUUUGGGAGGCUGAGGUGGGCGGAUGACAAGAUCAGGAGUUCAAGACCAGCCUGACCAACAUGGUGAAACCCCAUCUCCUAAAAAUACACAAAUUAGCUGGGCAUGGUGGCUCGUGCCUGUAAUGCCAGCUACUCAGGAAACUGAGGUAGGAGAAUUGCUUGAAACUGGGAGGCAGAGGUUGCAGUGAGCCGAGAUCGCGCCACUGCACUCCAGCCUGGGCGACAGAGCGAGACUCCUCCUCAAAAAUAAAUGAAUUAAUUAAAUUAAAUAAAUAAAUAAUAAAAAUAGGCUGGGCACAGUGGCUCACACCCGUAAUCCCAGCACUUUGGGAGGCCAAGGUGGGUGGAUCAUGAAGUCAGGAGUUUGAGACCAGCCUGGCCAAUAUGGUGAAAUCCACCUCUACUAAAAAUGCAAAAAUUAUCCAGGCGUGGUGGCGGGCACCUGUAGUCCCAGCUACUCGGGAGGCUGAGACAGGAGAAUCGCCUGAACCCGGGAGAGGGAGGUUGCAGUGAGCUGAGACGGUGCCACUGCACUCCAGCCUGGGCGACAGAGCAAGACUCCGUCUCAAAAAAUAAUAAUAAUUAAAAAAUAAAACCGAAAAGAGCCAGUGCCCUCAUACAAAAGGCUGGAAUGUAACAAAAGCCUACCACGAGUUUUGCCCAGGCCUUCCCUGGGCCUUCAGGCAUGACAAGGAAGGAAUUCGUGGCAGUAGCAGCUGACACCUAGGUAGCAUUUGCUAUGCACCAGGCAGGCACUCCAAGCCAUUUACAUUCAUUCAUUCAUUCGAUCCACAUCACUACCCUAUGAGGUAGGUACUAAGAUUGUCCCAAUUUUACAGGUGAGGAAACUGAGGCAGCUUGGGACUGUGCUUGGGAACAGCGUGAAGAGUUAGGAAGCCAGGAAGUCCGACUCUAGAGUCAGGCUCUAAACCACCAACACUUUGUUGAAUGACUUAGGAUGGAAGAACAGAACCAGCGCAUGGAGAAGGGACCCCUCUCUGUCCUCCAGAUUGGCGAAGGCUUCAUCUCAGGAGAGGCAGGCUACUGCUUGCCGGCAGCCCUCUCUGGUCAACAGUGGCGUCAGCAAGGCUGCCUGGGCUUAAAGAGGGAGGUGAAGCCACCUAAGGAGAGUGACACCUUGAAAGACGGGUCAUCGCUGACCUCAGAAGCCAGGACUCUGCGAGCUGGCAGGGCGAUGGGGACCAUCGAGACCCAACAGUACGACAUAGGAGCUUCAGGACGUGAGGCUGGCAGUAUUUAAUGUAAAACACCCCAGAGGAAAGAGAUCACCCGGACUCGGGACCCCUUAACCCACCCCAUCCACAGCCAACGAAUCCCUGAGACCGGAUUCCAAACGAGGCGCCCCCGGUGCCCGCCCGCCCGCCAGACGCGGGCCCCGCACCGUGAUC